rnacentral:lncRNA from 1 species
UUUUCAAAAAAUUUAAAAAAUAAAAUAAAAAACUAUGUUGCUGAAUGAAGAUGCAAUGGUGCUUUUUGUUGGUUUGUUAUUGAUUUGCUGUUUUAACCUUAUUUCAGUUCUGCAGACCUGACAGAGGGUAUGCAGCUAGGGCUAAUAAUGGACAUGAACUGAGUUGACUUCAUCAUAGUGAUGCCAUUUUGUCCUCUUUGAGUUUGAAGAACAACUAUUGUGUCAAGAUACUGAAGAUAUCACAGCUUCCCAUCAUCUCUCAGUAAAGGCGCUUAUCAAGAUUCUUCUUCUUUAUCUGUUUUCUUCCAGGUGUGUUACCAAGAGACACAGAGCUCUUUGAGGCUGCAACUGGAAAAGAAAAAAAGAGGCAAUUUCAUCUCUAUUUUCAGCAAAUAAAGGCUUUGAAGAUACACAUGACUCUCCUGCUGUACUUUGUGUAUCUCAGCAAGAGGUCCAAGUCAGCAUGCAUUUAUUCAGGUAAAUGCAUGUAAAUUUACACC